ACGUACGCUGGCGGCACGCCUAACACAUGCAAGUCGAACGAAGUAGCAAUACUUAGUGGCAGACGGGUGAGUAACAUGUAGGUAUCUGCCCUUUGGCCUGGAAUAACACGAGGAAACUUGUGCUAAUACCGGAUAAGUCUUUACGGAGAAAGCUUUAUGCACCAUUGGAUGAGCCUGCACUUGAUUAGUUUGUUGGUGGGGUAAUGGCCUACCAAGACUUUGAUCAAUAGCUGAUUUGAGAGGAUGAUCAGCCACAUUGGGACUGAGACACGGCCCAAACUCCUACGGGAGGCAGCAGUGGGGAAUCUUGCACAAUGGAGGAAACUCUGAUGCAGCGAUGCCGCGUGAGUGAAGAAGGCCUUUGGGUUGUAAAGCUCUUUCGUCGGGGAAGAAAAUGACUGUACCCGAAUAAGAAGGUCCGGCUAACUUCGUGCCAGCAGCCGCGGUAAUACGAAGGGACCUAGCGUAGUUCGGAAUUACUGGGCUUAAAGAGUUCGUAGGUGGUUGAAAAAGUUGGUGGUGAAAUCCCAGAGCUUAACUCUGGAACUGCCAUCAAAACUUUUCAGCUAGAGUUUGAUAGAGGAAAGCAGAAUUUCUAGUGUAGAGGUGAAAUUCGUAGAUAUUAGAAAGAAUACCAAUUGCGAAGGCAGCUUUCUGGAUCAUUACUGACACUGAGGAACGAAAGCAUGGGUAGCGAAGAGGAUUAGAUACCCUCGUAGUCCAUGCCGUAAACGAUGUGUGUUAGACGUUGGAAAUUUAUUUUCAGUGUCGCAGCGAAAGCGAUAAACACACCGCCUGGGGAGUACGACCGCAAGGUUAAAACUCAAAUGAAUUGACGGGGACCCGCACAAGUAGUGGAGCAUGUGGUUUAAUUCGAAGAUACGCGCAGAACCUUACCAACACUUGACAUGUUCGUCGCGACUUUAAGAGAUUAAAGUUUUCGGUUCGGCCGGACGAAACACAGGUGCUGCAUGGCUGUCGUCAGCUCGUGUCGUGAGAUGUUGGGUUAAGUCCCGCAACGAGCGCAACCCUCACUUUUAGUUGCCAUCAUUAAGUUGGGCACUCUGAAAGAACUGCCAGUGAUAAGCUGGAGGAAGGUGGGGAUGACGUCAAGUCCUCAUGGCCCUUACGUGUUGGGCUACACACGUGCUACAAUGGUAUCUACAACAGGAAGCAAAACGGCAACGUUAAGCAAAUCCCUAAAAGAUACCUCAGUUCGGAUUGCACUCUGCAACUCGAGUGCAUGAAGCUGGAAUUACUAGUAAUCGUGGAUCAGCGUGCCACGGUGAAUGCGUUCCCGGGUCUUGCACACACCGCCCGUCAAGGG
rnacentral:rRNA from 1 species